GCGAAAACUUUGCAAUGCUGGCAACAGCGAUAAGGGAACCUCGAGUGCCAGGUUACAAAUCUGGCUGUCGAGAUGCCUAAAAAGCAUUUCAUAGCAAGGGCCGGGCAAGACCGGUGUCAGCCGCCGCGGUAACACCGGCGGCUCGAGCGGUAACCGUUAUUAUUGGGUCUAAAGGGUCUGUAGCCGGCCGGAUAAGUCUCUUGAGAAAUCUGGCAGCUUAACUGUCAGGCUUUCAGGAGAUACUGUCUGGCUCGAGGCCGGGAGAGGUGAGAGGUACUUCAGGGGUAGGGGUGAAAUCUUGUAAUCCUUGAAGGACCACCAGUGGCGAAGGCGUCUCACCAGAACGGACCUGACGGCAAGGGACGAAAGCUAGGGGCACGAACC
rnacentral:rRNA from 1 species